rnacentral:rRNA from 1 species
UACGGAGGGUGCAAGCGUUGUCCGGAUUUAUUGGGUUUAAAGGGUGCGUAGGCGGCCUUUUAAGUCAGUGGUGAAAGCCCGCGGCUCAACCGCGGAACUGCCAUUGAUACUGGAAGGCUUGAGUACAGACGAGGUAGGCGGAAUUGAAGAUGUAGCGGUGAAAUGCUUAGAUAUCUUCAAGAACACCGAUUGCGUAGGCAGCUUACUAGGCUGUAACUGACGCUGAGGCACGAAAGCGUGGGGAGCGAACGGG